rnacentral:rRNA from 1 species
UACGAAGGGGGCUAGCGUUGCUCGGAUUGACUGGGCGUAAAGGGCGCGUAGGCGGUUCGUACAGUCAGACGUGAAAUUCCUGGGCUCAACCUGGGGGCUGCGUUUGAUACGUGCGGACUUGAGUGCGGAAGAGGGUCGUGGAAUUCCCAGUGUAGAGGUGAAAUUCGUAGAUAUUGGGAGGAACACCAGUGGCGAAGGCGGCUACCUGGACCGGUUCUGACGCUGAGGCGCGAAAGCGUGGGUAGCAAACAGG